GUGGGGAAUCUUGCGCAAUGGGCGAAAGCCUGACGCAGCCAUGCCGCGUGAAUGAUGAAGGUCUUAGGAUUGUAAAAUUCUUUCACCGGGGACGAUAAUGACGGUACCCGGAGAAGAAGCCCCGGCUAACUUCGUGCCAGCAGCCGCGGUAAUACGAAGGGGGCUAGCGUUGCUCGGAAUUACUGGGCGUAAAGGGCGCGUAGGCGGAUCGUUAAGUCAGGGGUGAAAUCCCAGAGCUCAACUCUGGAACUGCCCUUGAUACUGGCGAUCUUGAGUGUGAGAGAGGUAUGUGGAACUCCGAGUGUAGAGGUGAAAUUCGUAGAUAUUCGGAAGAACACCAGUGGCGAAGGCGACAUACUGGUCCAUUACUGACGCUGAGGCUCGAAAGCGUGGGGAGCAAACAGGAUUAGAUACCCCGGUAGUCC
rnacentral:rRNA from 1 species